GGGGUUUUCUAUAAAAUGGUUAUAUAUAUAUAUUCUUUCAUUGUUUAUCUCCCGUGACAGCUUAGAAUUCAUCUUCGGGUGAACCUCUAUUUAAAGGGUGCACAGUGGUUCCUGGUGUUCUUGCGCGGGCUUGGUUCUUGGCUUUCUCCCACUGGUGUUCUUCCUGGUGUUCUUCCGUUGGUGUUCUCCCUAGUGUGUCGUCUCUCUUUCUUCUUGAGUUCCUGGUGGAUGAAGGCUUUUGGUUGAUAUUCUACCUUUUUUUUUCCUUUUCGGUUUCACGGAUGCCCUGUGCUGAUGAUCGA
rnacentral:lncRNA from 1 species